UACGGAAGGCAGCAGUGGGGAAUAUUGCACAAUGGGCGAAAGCCUGAUGCAGCUAUGCCGCGUGUAUGAAGAAGGCCUUAGGGUUGUAAAGUACUUUCAUCGGGGAGGAAAAACAAAACUAAUAAUUUUAUUUCUUGACGUUACCCGAAAAAGAAGCACCGGCUAACUCCGUGCCAGCAGCCGCGGUAAUACGGAGGGUGCUAGCGUUAAUCAGAAUUACUGGGCGUAAAGAGCACGUAGGUGGUUUUUUUAAGUCAGAUGUGAAAUCCCUGGGCUUAACCUGGAACUGCAUUUUGAAACUGAAAUACUAGAGUAUCGUAGAGGGAGGUAGAAUUCUAGGUGUAGCGGUGAAAUGCGUAGAUAUCUGGAGGAAUACCUGUGGCGAAAGCGGCCUCCUAAACGAAUACUGACACUGAGGGUGCGAAAGCGUGGGGAGCGAAACAGGGAUUAGAUACCCGU
rnacentral:rRNA from 1 species